UACGUAGGGUGCGAGCGUUGUCCGGAAUUAUUGGGCGUAAAGAGCUUGUAGGUGGUUUGUCGCGUCUGCUGUGAAAAUCCGAGGCUCAACCUCGGACUUGCAGUGGGUACGGGCAGACUAGAGUGUGGUAGGGGAGACUGGAAUUCCUGGUGUAGCGGUGGAAUGCGCAGAUAUCAGGAGGAACACCGAUGGCGAAAGGCAGGUCUCUGGGCCAUUAACUGAC
rnacentral:rRNA from 1 species